rnacentral:rRNA from 1 species
GCGACCCCAGGUCAGGCGGGACUACCCGCUGAAUUUAAGCAUAUCAAUAA